rnacentral:rRNA from 1 species
AUUCAAAGCCAAUGCCCUUCGGGGCUUCUUGGUGAUUCAUGAUAACUUCACGGACCGCACGGCCCUGCGCCGGCGAUGGUUCAUUCAAAUUUCUUCCCUAUCAACUUUCGAUGUUUGGGUCUUGGCCAAACAUGGUUG